UUUACUUUAUAGCUGUGACAUUCGCUGAAAUCCAAACAAAAUGCCAAUUUUGCUGAGUUACAAUGUUUUGCUUGUAAACGACUUUGAAUUCAUCGCUUUGAAUGUCUUUUAUGUGAUUGGUAAUGUAAAAAUUGGAUAGUAGUGAACAUUCAAUGGAAUAUUCCUUUCGACAGUUAAAAGCAGUAAAUAGUAUGGAAGAAUCAGUUGAACUACGUAGUUGCAUAAACCGUUCAAUGUUGAUAUUCGUUGGCGUGGUCUUAGUCAAGAAAUGAGUUUGUUUCGACAGGCUCAAACAAAAAUUCAAUAUCAAUUCGAACACAACGAUUAUUCGUCAAUAAAAUUUGGUACAACACAAAACGUACAGCAUUGCUGUAGACAGUUUGUAAAUUGAUCCUUGGAUUUUUAUCCAAAAUAAAGUGGUUUUGUCAUUCGUUUUUUUACCAAAAAUAUGGACAGACAAAAGGACAACAAGGAAAACGUGUUUGUGCCACCAAAGACAAACUAUUUUAUCCGCUGCCCGUAUGAUAAUCGCCACUUCGUUUUGAACCGAAAUUACGAGGCACAUUUGAUAAAAUGCGCUAGCAUUCACCCAAGUGUUCAAAUGCUCUUUUGUCCUUUCAACACGUCACAUCGCUGUCGUUCUUUGGAGCAAUUGAGCCAACAUAUUGAAAAAUGCCCAUUCCAAGAAUCAUUUGGGCGGUACGACAGACGAUAAAUAGUCCAGAAUUUAAUCAGAACCAACCAACCAUUCGACAAAUCAAAUGACAAUGAAUACAAUGAAAAUGUAUUACAUCCUGCAAUGUAUAAAUGCACAUGACGAAUAAGUUUUAUUUGACUAAAAUCCAAGAAUAUUGAGAUGAAAUCUUUCUUUUCUGAUCAAUUAUACAUACACACAUAUACGUAUUUUUAUAUGAAGUCAUUUUCUAAUCGAUUCCAAAGCAAAACAUUUUAUAGAAAAACUGUAAUGACAAUAACAAAAAAAGUCCCGAAUAAUUUGUAGAAAUUACAGAAUUAUAUGAA